rnacentral:rRNA from 1 species
UUAGCGGCGGACGGGUGAGUAACACGUGGAUAACCUACAUAUAAGACUGGGAUAACUUCGGGAAACCGGAGCUAAUACCGGAUAACAUUUGGAACCGCAUGGUUCUAAAGUGAAAGAUGGUUUUGCUAUCACUUAUAGAUGGACCCGCGCCGUAUUAGCUAGUUGGUAAGGUAACGGCUUACCAAGGCGACGAUACGUAGCCGACCUGAGAGGGUGAUCGGCCACACUGGAACUGAGACACGGUCCAG